rnacentral:rRNA from 1 species
GGCGGCAUGCCUAACACAUGCAAGUCGAACGGAGAAUCGCUUCGGUGAUUCUUAGUGGCGAACGGGUGAGUAACGCGUAGGCAACCUGCCCUUUGGAUGGGGACAACAUUCCGAAAGGAGUGCUAAUACCGAAUGUGACGAUUUUACCGCAUGGUUUAAUCGUGAAAGAUGGCCUCUACAUGUAAGCUAUCGCCAAAGGAUGGGCCUGCGUCUGAUUAGCUAGUUGGUGGGGUAACGGCUCACCAAGGCGACGAUCAGUAGCCGGUCUGAGAGGAUGAACGGCCACAUUGGGACUGAGAUACGGCCCAGACUCCUACGGGAGGCAGCAGUGGGGAAUAUUGGGCAAUGGGGGAAACCCUGACCCAGCAACGCCGCGUGAAGGAAGAAGGCCUUCGGGUUGUAAACUUCUUUUACCAGGGACGAAGAACGUGACGGUACCUGGAGAAAAAGCAACGGCUAACUACGUG